CAUUGAAACACCGGUUUCCGUAUGAUCACCGAAGUUAAGCAAAGUCUAUCCUGGGCAGUACCUCGAUGGGUGACCACUUGGGAAUACUACUUGCUGUAA